ACAAGAUUUCCAUCAAAUCUUUCUCUACAAACCCUGAAAUUAUCGAUACAAAAAUCUCCUUUUUGGGAGAAAGAUCCUCCUCGCCCCUGUCUACAGAACAGUGCAGCCCACAGCUGAGGACGAGCCUCUGUUUUUCCAGUGGGCUACGAGCUCCGGUCGGAUGCUUGCAAAAAGACGAAGCUCCUCUCUAUGGGCAGACUGUGUUCAUCUGCAGUGAGUGCCUCUGCUCAGUCUGAGAUCCUCACCUCAAGAUGUUGGUGAAAUGCUCUUAUGAGUCAGGCUUUUGCAUGGUGAAUAACAAAGUGGGGAAACCUUCAGUGGACAAACAGCUGCUUGUGAAAUUUAAGCUGGACUCUACAGUAGGUAUUGUUGGGGAGCAGUGAUCGACAUGUAAUCAAACUAGCAGGUUAACUACAUUUUGCAGUAGCUUGCUGGUAGUUCAACUAUGUUCAUAUUUGCAUAGUUAUUUGGGUAGUUAAAAUACUUUUCCCAUUGUUUGUGUAGUUAACCAUUCAGACUAUAAACAAUUUUGAGCCAUAAGGGAAAAGGAGUCAUGUUCUUUCUUUUUAUUUUAUGUAUGUGAGCAUCAUUGGUAAGGACAUGUUCAGUGUCACACAGAAUGUCCUGUUGGAUAAGAACUUUGAAAGGCUGCUCAUGUGUAGUUUAAAGAAGAGAUUCUGCUUUGACUAGUACACAGAGGACCAUUACUUUAGACCAGUAUUCAAGCUGUUCACACUGUCUGAAAUACUGCAAGUUGAAGACUGUUUUAGUUGGUAAGACUGUUACAAUCUUACAGCUGUUACAAAACGGACAAGACAGACUUUUUUUUAGACCAGUGCUCAAGUUGGUCAAAUGGACUAAGAAGGUGCAAGUGAUGUUUUUAUUUAUGUACUUUUUUUAAUCAUAUAAGACAAAAUUCAGAUUUGUUUACAUCAAAAAUAUAGCCUUCCUUGCAGUGUUGUCCUUGUGAAAAGCCCAUAGGACUGUUUUAUUUAGGACAGAUUAGGUCUCAGGUAAGAAGAUCAACUGGGCUGCAUUUUUUUCUGUAAUGUGGAUUUUUUGUUUAUUUUAUUAGAAUUUUGUCUCAUAUGCACAUUGUCAAUUUGUUCAUUCUUUUUUUACAACAUAGUUUGAACUACUUUGUCUAAAUAGCUGUAGUUUAACCAAACUAGGUUUCUCUCCAGGGUAGGGUAGGUAACACCUUCCAGUGUGAAGUCAGUGGUAGCUUGCAAAGCUAUGCUUUCUCAGUAGCCUCCCCAGCACUGACAGUAGGUAUUAUAAAAUCAAA